AACCGCGGAGGUAAGAGGACCGGUACUGGGGCGCGAGGGCGCAUGGAUUUAGCCUUGCAAGAGAGAGGACAGUCGGGUUCCCGCGCCUCCCCUCGGUUUAGGGAAAACGUUGCCCUCCGUCGGCCUGUUUGUCCAGCCUGUUCUCUACUGUCUGCCUCUGCUUGUCUGUUUUCCUUGCCUGCUCGUGUGUCUGUCUGCCUGCUCGUCUGUCUGUUCAUGUGUAUGUUGGUGGGCAUACGCCCGCGUCACCGUCCUCCGUGGACGUUUCUGAGAUCUUUACAAGUGGCAGGUGUUGGGGACACCAACGUCCAGGAACGCAUUCGACGGGAGGCUUUGCUUAGGUUGUCCUCCUGUGAAUGGCACUAGAUGCUCACACAAACGACUCUCUCACUGAAAAGCGAUGAUCCCGAAGCAGGUCUCGGAAGGAGCCCAGUCAGUGAACAAGCUUACCCUGUGGCUAGUGGUCGCGAGCCUCACAAGUCUGCACCUUGUCGCUUCCGCUUUGGCAAGGUCUCCUGGGUUCCCUCUGCCGUCCCAGCGAUGCGCUGGCACGGGGCGAGCGGAGAUGAUCCGAUGUUAGACGACUUCGGUGGUCCCUGCUGAUAUUUAAGCAAACACUAAGACUGGAAGCGCUGUAGGAAUGUUUGUUGGCCCCUGGCAACGGGCGUCACCGGCAAGAAGUGUCGCACAAGAUAGACAGAAAAACCAAGGUCUCAGCAGGACGCAAGCCGGAGUCGUGCACGGUUCUCCAGUUCGCCGCUCUGGGAACGAGGUCCGAGGAGAUUUCGGAAUGGACCCGGGAGAAUGCGUAUGUUCUUGACGAGAAGGGCGGCGCACCCGUGUUCCCCAAGAGUUGGAUAUUCCACCCGCGCCGGGUCUGAGGUUCUCAGUCCUACUCCGAGCAGCCAACUCUGCCCACAGUAGAUCAGAAGGACGCUUUGUUUCCUCCACUUGAAAGGAAAAUGGAGCUCAUGAGCAGCCUACUGAUGCUGGGAGUCUCUCUCUGACUUUCAUCCACUGAUGAUGCGGCUACAAAAGAAGGUUCUGGGUCCCCACCUCGCCCUGAAGUUUGGGCUGUCUUCUGGUCACCACGGAGUCCCGUCUCCAGUGUCCCUGUAGCUUCCAGAUGACAACCUGGGACUCCAGGACAGCCAUGGAAGGAUGCGCAAAGCCCCUGUACCUGGGAGUCGUGGCUCUUGCUCCUCUGUUGAUCCCUGAAUCUCCAAGGCUGGUAUGGCUUCUGGACUUGGGAACACCACCCAUCUGGAACUUGGCCUGUUACUGUGAAGACGUAUAAUGCCCUGGGGUGCAGGUCUCCUGAGGAAGGACGUGAUUCUUCUUACACGUCGAUGGGGUUCCCACACUCUUGAGAGGACAAGCCAGCUGAGCCCAUCAUGACCAAUGUCCCAGCAACCCUUGAGCCUGACCAGUGCACCCUCGACUGGCCUGUAGCUGCUGGCUAUUCCCAGAAGUCCCAAGCAUCGUUCCCCGUGAGCCGUUCUAAUGCCUUCCACAGCCAAAACCUGCUUCAAGCCUGUCUUACCAAUCAAGAAGCUGCAUUCCCACCCUGCUGCCAGGAGUUUCAGAUGAACACACUGUCCUUCUAGGUGAACGGUUCACAAGAAUGACCCAGGCGUCUGUAGGAGCUACUGCAGCUGGACUGUAUCCAGGUCCUGAGACCCUCCCUGUACAGAAAAGCCUGAAGGCUGUGCACUCUGUACGGGGUAGCUCUAGGCACAGUGACCUCUCUACUUCCUGUGGCUCAGACACUGGCAAGGACACAUCUAAAGGUUUAAUGUCAGGGUGCUGGGCAUCCUUCCCUUCUGUUGGAAGUGUCCUCACAUCCAUCCACGAAGCGAAACAACCUUUGCCACUUGACCUCAGAGGAGCUUGGACUCUGUGCAGAAGUCUGAGAUCCUCACGAGUUCAGCCGGGGAAGUAGUCCCCCACCUGGUGCUGGUGCCCCAGAUUCCAUCACAGUGUGAUGGUACCAGUGUCCAGGUUUCAACAUCCCUGGAGGAGGUGUCACAGUGAGCUUAUGAGGCUCUUCGGCAGCCGAUGGCAAGCUACCUUUGACCUUUGCUUUUUUUCUAAGUUAGCUGAGAUCUGAGAAGAGGGCUGUGUCUCUCACCCCCACCCCACCCCAGCCCGAGGCCUGGAUGCACCGCCUCCUGCCAUCCCUCUUCAUCUUCUGCAGCAGUCCUCCCUGGGAGCCAUGGGAACCGUGGCCUCCCAGGUACCAGAGACAGGUGCCUCUGUUGUUUUGGCAGAGCCAGCCUGGGUCAGGUGGGGUGCUGGGAGAGAGACACACGGGCUUUGAUUCUGAGCGGCUCCUUCCUCCCCAGCCCUCCUCCCAGCCCACCUGUGCCGAAGAUUCCCCUCUCCACCUGCCUCGGUUCGCUGAGCUGGCACAAAGAGCCUCCCUGGGCCUCAGGUCAGGGGCAUCAGAUUAGCCACCGAGCAGGCCUGAGAGGCAGAGCUCUGGGAGCCCCUUUCUCAGGAUAAAGUCUACUUGUUCUGGACACAGUCACAGGCCUAUUGGGAAGGACAAGGGGAGAUGGUUCAGAAACUAGGGUUACUUCCUCCCAAAGCCCAGGUGUGGGAGCACAAAGACAAAGACCAAUCUCUAUGGUGUUGCUAAAAUCCCCUUACUGAUGUUUAUCCAGAGUCCUACAGUCACCUGCUGUGUGAGCAAACAGUAAAACAAAGAAAUCACAGCAGAUCUCUUAAAAAUACAAGCUUAAUAAAACAGAAAUGAAAUUGUCUCCUUAGCAGAAGACAUAAUAAUAAGUCUGUUAUCCAGAGUUACUUCUGGCCCCAGAGUUCUUUGUCAUUUAUAUCACCGUUCUCAGUGCUUGGUUCCUACUAUAUGGGUACAAGAGAGUUACUGGGGGUCCAGCCAUCUUA